GCAUGUGUUUUCAGUCAGGGGUUCCUGCCUUCACAGUCAAGCAGCCAGAAGAUGCAAUGGCUGUGCUUAAGGACAGGUCCAAAGAGACAGGUUGUCCUCUUUGGGUGUGUCCAGACCUGGACGACUAUCAGGCAGACUGUGGACCUUUGCACCUGGGCCUGGCAGGGCAACACCAGCGCUCCAAUGCCUCCCUGGCCCUCCAGCUGAGUCACACUUGGCUGCAGAAAAGAUGUCUACCAG